CCAGUGUAGUUUUUCCAGUGAGUGGCUAAUUCCCGAGUGAUUAUAUUCCAAAUUGUCCAUUGUGUGUCUCUCUUUGAUUCAUAUAUUGUUGGGGUAAAGCAUGUUUUAAUGUUUAUCCUCAUGAAUCUUAGGUUCAUCGAAUAUAUUCAUUGAUACUUCGUCACGAUAUCAAACCAAAUUGCGAGACCUUCAGGAUUAUGAUAAAUAUGACUGUGAGGUCGAAGGAUUUUGAAGGCGCAUAUGGCAUGCUCAAGGAUUUGGAGAAGUUCAACGUGAGGCCUACCCCAGGCAUGUACAAUGCCAUAAUGGCAGGAUAUUUCCGAGAG